UGGGCAACAUGGCAAAACCCCGUCUCUACAAAAAAAUACAAAAAUUAGCUGGGUGUGGUGGCAUGUGCCUGUAGCAUCACCUACUCUGGAGGCCGAAGUAGGAGGAUGGCUGGAGCCUGGGAGACAGAAGUUGCAGAGAGUUGACAUCACGCCACUGUACCCCAGCCUGGGUAACAGAGUCAGAUCUUGUCUCAAGAAAAAAAAAAAAAGAAAGAAAGAAAGAAAGAAAAAAAAAAAACACUGCAGAACUUCCUAGUUCAAAGAACCAGAGGUAAAUGAUGAGGAGACAACUGAACAAAGAAAAGCCCCUGAACUCCCAAACCCAGAAACAUUCUGGUUUACAGCCUGCUGAACAAGUGAUUCAGAGGUGUAUAC
rnacentral:lncRNA from 1 species